AAUGAUUAUUCAAUAAUUGUUAUAAUAUAUAAAACAAAAGACGAGUUAAUCACCGACUUUAUUAUUUUAUUGUAUCAGAUGUAACGUUACAGACUCUUCUUUAGCGUGCUGAACGUUAGUUGCAUAAUUUCUGAGCAAACCUGUGAUCACAACAUGAAGCCUUUAAAUGUUAAAGCAAAUUUUACACGACUCGUCACUUAUAAACACAGAGAAUGCGUCCUUUAAAUUACAUUAACAAUAUGAUGAAUUUCCAUGAAUCGUAGAACAACAGUGGCCCGAAAAAAUAAAGUUCUGCAUUAAUAAAUGCAUUAUGCAAACAUUAUAGUUGUCUUAGUCUUAUGCAACAACAAAAUUUAAUACUGUAUAAUUUCACCUUCGUAAGCAUGUAUGCCGGGUUUGCAGUUGAUUAAAUUUAAUGUAGAUAUCCGUGUAUUUUCCAGUCUGUUGUAUUUUCAAAUGUUGACGUCGCGCGGAGAUGACGUCAGAUUGUGUUCCCCACUGGCCGCUCGACCGCACGUCAACGUCGCCUCCAUAUUGGAGCGGACAACUCUCAUAACUCUCACAUCAGGAAAGAAGAAAACCUUACCUGACUCAUCGACAGAUUGGACACCUACAAACCGUCACACGAUAAUAAAAACAGAUCUCGGGAUGUUAUCUUUCAGAGUCAUUUGCAAACAGGACAAGGACAGCCUUAAGGAAAGCUGAGGAAACCUGUUCUCAGAGACAAGACUAUACCUCCCUAGACUAGUGUUGUGUUUGUACUAAACACAGAGCAGCCCUGAAUGAAUCGACAGAAUGACCCAGCUCAUAUUCUAAAGCGAUUAAAAAACUGCCAAAGUUAAUGCUUCUCGAUGUAAGGAUGUUCAGAUAUUUGAGCUGGAAAACAAGAGUAAGAGCAUCAUUCUCUGUGGUGAAGAAGAACACCAUGACCUUCAUCAAAUUAAAAUCUCUCGUGUUUGUGUCUGAGUCGAACGGUGAAAGGUAAAAGAAAAGAGUUAAAAAGAAACCCUGGACAAUCUUCCUAAAACAUACGUCUGCAGGAACCUUGAUGAUUAUAAAUAUGCUUUAUCUUUAUCACAGUAUAAUUUAAUCAAGCCUCGUGUUUUCAACUCCAUAUUUAUACUGAAAAUAAAAGUAGCUGUGAUCUUAUUCUAGUUAACGGCUCUGAAAUUGAGUGACAGCUGAUUGGUUGAUUCACAAAUGUCUUCACACACACAAACUGCUUCAUAUUCAAGAUAUGAUAUCAAGAUUCAUAUUUAGAUUAACACUCAUAUAACUGUAUUGUCUGUGUGAGAGGAAUCAAACAAUCAAAUCCUGUGAUCGUUUACUCUUCCUCAGCCUGAAAAAGUGUUUUUUUUUCCCGCUGAACACCAAAGAAGAUGUUUUUUUGAGAACAAACAGUUGACGGCACCCAUUGACUUCUAUGCUACAGGAAGAAAUACUAUGGAAGUGAAUGGGUACCAUCAACCGUUUGGUGUUUAAAGCAUCAUCUUUUUAGCAUUCAGCAGAAGACAGAAACUCGUACAAAAAAAAAAAAAUUUUUACAUUUUAUUUAAAAAAAUAAAUAUGUAAAAUAAGAACAAACAGUUAAACUUUUAUUCCUUACUAGUAAUUCCCAAAGCAACCAACUAUGUGUCAUUGUUGUUAACUAAGACUGAAACUACUAAAAACAGUUUUCUGUAAUUGACAUAAAGCUAAAAUAAUGAUAUAGAUAAAUCGUGUAAGCUACUACUAAAUAUUGUAGAAACUUAAUUUUCUGUAAAGUUACUUUGCAAUGAUUUGUAAAGUAAAAAUUACUGAAAUUAAAGUAGUAACUUUUUACAAAAAAAGUUGAAAUGCUAAAAUUAUUAAAACUGAUAUAAACAUAAAGGCAAACAAAAAAAAAACUAAUUCCUAAACAUCAGACUGCAACGAUGAGGCUAAAAGCUAUGCUAUGUGUCACUCUGAGUAAGUGCUGUAACAGUUUAUAAAGACAUUGAUGUUGUUUGGACGCCAGAACCGUCUCUCUCUCUGUGUGUGUGUGUGUGUGUGUGUGUGUCCACCUGGAUGUUCCCGUGUUUGGCUCCUGGGAUGAUCUGAAUCCUCUCAUAAUAAAUUAUUAUAAAUCUUAUAAA